UAUUCCCCUAUCAACCUAAGUGGUAAGAAUUGGAGGAAGCAACUCAGAUUUCGAACCAACAAUCAAAGCCUUAGUAUCAGGAAAAUAUUGCAUCCCUGGAAGUGAUGUUACACUUCCAUCUUCACCCACUUCAACAGGAUACCUCAAUAGGUUCAUCAAAAUCAUCGCUGUUACCACCAAUAUGUUCAUACCAUAAGGCUCUUCUGAACCCGUAAAUUUGACCUUGUGGUCUUUGAGGGCCAAUGGAUGCUAGAUGAUGCGGCUGGAAUGCUCCCAUUGCUAUCUCUGUGUCUCUUCCACCAUCCAUUGAUCUUUGGUUUAUGUUUGCUGAACCAAUCAGUAUGUAUUCAUCAUCCACUGAAUCAACAAAAUAAAGUAUGGUAAUUAGGUACUAUUUACAUGACUGCUAAGAGCAGAAGGUUUUAUCCUGUCCAGCUUUCAAAACAAAUGUGAUAUGGGAUGUGCUUGUGCAGGUAAGUGGGUAUAGUUGUAUAAAUUAUACGGUAUAAUCAUAACUUUUUCAAUUAUACCGUAUAAUCAUAACGAGUUUCAAAAAGGGUACACAUUGAGGCAUUCCUCCGCCAACCUGCUCUAGCGAUGCUUCUCACUCUAGCAUUCCUUCUUGUCUGAGAAGCAUCGCUCAAUCAAUCAUCACGUGAUGAUCCAUACAUUAAGAUGAGACUCGCGUUGUGAUUCCCUCAACAGGAUCACCCUGAUUCACCCUAGCCUUCACUUAUAAAAAAGACAUCGUUCUGAUAAACCUUUCACUCGACUCAAUCGAAUUCUAUAGGUGGUUGCAUGUACAUCACCCCUCCCCGGUGGAGAACAACCGGUGUCCUCCAUUACACGGUUUGCACUAAGGCUGCCACCUAAGGUUCUCUUUGGAUUGUUGAUGUCAUCCGCGAAAAACGUGGGACUAAGCCAUGCAUGAGGGCUAAGAGCCCCUUUAGACUCAGCCACAACUGAGACCUAUUAUUCUGGUAUAUCAAAAAGUUCCGCAUUGUUUGAAAAUCGAAGCUAGUUGACUAGGAGUAGUUUAUACAUAACACCAACAUUCUUCUAUCCAUUGAGAUGUCUAUUACAAAGUUCAAAACAUUUUGGUGCUCUAGAAUUUUGUUGUAUAUGAUAUCGAAUAUUCAAUCAUAUAAUGUUGUUAUUUUAAAAAUAAAAUAAAAAGAAUACUUUUUUAAAAUAUUGAACUAAUUUUACAUCCAAAUUGAAUUAAUUACAAGAGAAGUAAUAGUUAUGAAUAAUACCUUGCG